GACGAACGCUGGCGGCGUGCUUAACACAUGCAAGUCGAACGGAAAGGCCAUGCUUUUGUGGGGUGCUCGAGUGGCGAACGGGUGAGUAACACGUGAGUAACCUGCCCUUGACUUUGGGUUAACUUCAGGAAACUGGGGCUAAUACCGGUUAGGAGCUCCUGCUGCAUGUUGGUGGCUGGAAAGUUUCGGCGGUUGGGGAUGGACUCGCGGCGUAUCAGCUUGUUGGUGGGGUAGUGGCCUACCACGGCUUUGACGGGUAGCCGGGCUGAGCGGGUGACCGGCCACAUUGGGACUGAGAUACGGCCCAGACUCCUACGGGAGGCAGCAGUGGAGAAUAUUGCACAGUGGGCGGAAGCCUGAUGCAGCAACGCAGCGUGCGGGAUGACGGCCUUCGGGUUGUAAACCGAUUUCGCCUGUGACGAAGCGUGAGUGACGGUAAUGGGUAAAGAAGCACCGGCUAACUACGUG
rnacentral:rRNA from 1 species